CUUUCAAUUUACGAUAAAGCUUGUCGUCAUCGGUGCCUACAUAGCAAGUUAUUUGAAAUUAGUUGGUGGAUGUAGAUUUGCUGAAUAAUUUUAAAAUAAAAUAAAAUCUAAUAUGAACUCAAAAAAGUUAAAUAAUCAAAAUACCUGAGCUCUAAACUUAACCAAAAAAAAAAAAAGAUGAAGUAAGAAAAUGAAGAGAGGAGGGUAAAGGUGGUCAAGA
rnacentral:lncRNA from 1 species